AUCUUCAAGAGGUUCCUUUUCUUCUUUGUCUUGUUCAUCAGCAGGCAAAAGAGGAAGUUUUGUAGGUAGUAAUCAUAAUAGUAGGCUUCCUCCAAUUCCUGCGCAAAAGCACUUUUGAUCUGUAAAAACUUGUACAUUGAGAACAAUAUUUGAUGUGGUUAUGAUGAGUGAGAAAUUUUAUUAACAAGUUGGUGAGACAUACAGAGCUUAUACUAGCUAUAAAUCCCAUUAUGCAAGUGGAAGGUGAGAGGAUAAACUACUUUUAAUGGAGUUAAAAUCUUGAACAUAUCCCAGCAAUCUAAAAGCUGGAAUAUUGAUUGUUAUCAUUUAUCCACUCUUUUGACUUCCAAUUAAAAGGAAAAGAAAAUAAACAACUUUUAAUGGAGUUAAAAUCUUGAACAUAUCCUAGCAAUCUAAAAGCUGGAAUAUUGAUUGUUAUCAUUUAUCCACUCUUUUGACUUCCAAUUAAAAGGAAAAGAAAAUAAACUACUUUUAAUGGAAUUAAAAUCUUGAACAUAUCCCAGCAAUCUAAAAGCUGGAAUAUUGAUUGUUAUCAUUUAUCCACUCUUUUGAUUUCCAAUUAAAAGGAAAAGAAAAUAAUACACUCAUCAUGUGCGCAUGUUACAGAAUUUGUUGACAUGGUUUGAUGCUCUCCAUGAUGUGUUUUAAUGUAGUGGAAUGGUUCAAAGUUCACAAUAGUAGUAAUUUCAUUUCUGUUUCUCUUCUUUCAAACUCUGAAGCUCAAGUGAAUGUUAACACUUCACGGAAGGAAAGAUCUUGAAAUAAUAGACAAACAGUAAGCCAUCCAAAAAGUGCUUCAAGAUUUAGGAAUAAGCACCUGAAGAAAAGCUGACAACUUUUGGUUAUUACAGAUGUAUGGAGCAAAUCUCAGAAAAGCAUUCCCCAAAACCAUGUUCUUGCUUCGGAUUGCACCUGAAACUGGGUUCUAUCUUUUCAACAACACGUGAAACUGAGGCCUUUUUCUUCCCCCCACUUUGUCUCAAUAUUUUAAGCAAUUUUUUAUGUCUUUACAUAACAUUAUCUUUUAGCUGCAUCCAUUUAGGAUUUAAUCUCAUAAAAUAAUAUAUCCAACUCUUUCUUGAA
rnacentral:lncRNA from 1 species